CGUCCUAUUAGCUAGUUGGUGAGGCAAUGGCUCACCAAGGCUACGAUGGGUAGGGGUUCUUAGUGGAAGAUCCCCCACACUGGCACUGAGAUACGGGCCAGACUCCUACGGGAGGCAGCAGUAGGGAAUAUUGGUCAAUGGGCGCAAGCCUGAACCAGCCAUGCCGCGUGCAGGAUGACAGCUCUCUGAGUUGUAAACUGCUUUUGUACAGGAGCAAAACAAUCCCUGCGGGGGUUCUUGAGAGUACUGUAAGAAUAAGCACCGGCUAAUUCCGUGCCAGCAGCCGCGGUAAUACGGAAGGUGCAAGCGUUAUCCGGUUUUAUUGGGUUUAAAGGGUGCGUAGGCGGCUUAUUAAGUCAGUUGUGAAAUCCUAGUGCUUAACGCUAGAACUGCGAUUGAUACUAUU
rnacentral:rRNA from 1 species